GAUGAACGCUGGCGGCGUGCCUAAUACAUGCAAGUCGAGCGAACGGACGAGAAGCUUGCUUCUUUUGUUAUCGCCGCACGCGUGAGUAACACUUGUAUAUCCUACCUCUAAUACUGUGAUAUCUUCGUGAAACCGCAGCUAUUACCCCAUGUUAUUUUUAUCCGCAUGUUUCUCAAUUUUAAUUCGCUCUUUCUGUCUCUUUUAUAUUUUUCCUCGCUCCAUUAGCUAGUUUGUAAGGUAACGGCUUACCAAGGCAACGAUGCAUAUCCGACAUGAGAGGGUGAGCGGCCACACUGGAACUGAGACACGGUCCAGACUCCUACGGGAGGCAGCAGUAGGGAAUCUUCCGCAAUGGGCGAAAGCAUGACGGAGCAACGCCGCGUGAGUGAUGAAGGUCUUCGGAUCGUAAAACUCUGUUAUUAGGGAAGAACAUAUGUGUAAGUAAAUGUGCACAUAUUGACGGUACCUAAUCAGAAAGCCACGGCUAACUACGUG
rnacentral:rRNA from 1 species